rnacentral:rRNA from 1 species
GAUGAACGCUGGCGGCGUGCCUAAUACAUGCAAGUCGAGCGAACAGACGGGGAGCUUGCUCCUCUGACGUUAGCGGCGGACGGGUGAGUAACACGUGGAUAACCUACCUAUAAGACUGGGAUAACUUCGGGAAACCGGAGCUAAUACCGGAUAAUAUAUUGAACCGCAUGGUUCAAUAGUGAAAGACGGUUUUGCUUUCACUUAUAGAUGGAUCCGCGCCGCAUUAGCUAGUUGGUAAGGUAACGGCUUACCAAGGCAACGAUGCGUAGCCGACCUGAGAGGGUGAUCGGCCACACUGGAACUGAGACACGGUCCAGACUCCUACGGGAGGCAGCAGUAGGGAAUCUUCCGCAAUGGGCGAAAGCCUGACGGAGCAACGCCGCGUGAGUGAUGAAGGUCUUCGGAUCGUAAAACUCUGUUAUUAGGGAAGAACAAAUGUGUAAGUAACUAUGCACGUCUUGACGGUACCUAAUCAGAAAGCCACGGCUAACUACGUG